AGUGAACGCUGGCGGUAGGCCUAACACAUGCAAGUCGAACGGCAGCACAGUAAGAGCUUGCUCUUACGGGUGGCGAGUGGCGGACGGGUGAGGAAUACAUCGGAAUCUACUUUUUCGUGGGGGAUAACGUAGGGAAACUUAUGCUAAUACCGCAUACGACCUACGGGUGAAAGCAGGGGAUCUUCGGACCUUGCGCGAUUGAAUGAGCCGAUGUCGGAUUAGCUAGUUGGCGGGGUAAAGGCCCACCAAGGCGACGAUCCGUAGCUGGUCUGAGAGGAUGAUCAGCCACACUGGAACUGAGACACGGUCCAGACUCCUACGGGAGGCAGCAGUGGGGAAUAUUGGACAAUGGGCGCAAGCCUGAUCCAGCCAUACCGCGUGGGUGAAGAAGGCCUUCGGGUUGUAAAGCCCUUUUGUUGGGAAAGAAAAGCAGCAGGUUAAUACCCCGCUGUUCUGACGGUACCCAAAGAACAAGCACCAGCUAACUUCGU
rnacentral:rRNA from 1 species